UACGGAAGGUAGCAGUGGGGAAUAUUGCACAAUGGGCGAAAGCCUGAUGCAGCUAUGCCGCGUGUAUGAAGAAGGCCUUUAGGGUUGUAAAGUACUUUCAUCGGGGAGGAAAAAACAAAACUAAUAAUUUUAUUUCUUGACGUUACCCGAAAAAGAAGCACCGGCUAACUCCGUGCCAGCAGCCGCGGUAAUACGGAGGGUGCUAGCGUUAAUCAGAAUUACUGGGCGUAAAGAGCACGUAGGUGGUUUUUUUAAAGUCAGAUGUGAAAUCCCUGGGCUUAACCUGGAACUGCAUUUUGAAACUGAAAUACUAGAGUAUCGUAGAGGGAGGUAGAAUUCUAGGUGUAGCGGUGAAAUGCGUAGAUAUCUGGAGGAAUACCUGUGGCGAAAGCGGCCUCCUAAACGAAUACUGACACUGAGGGUGCGAAAGCGUGGGGAGCAAACAGGGAUUAGAUACC
rnacentral:rRNA from 1 species